rnacentral:lncRNA from 1 species
AACGCCCAACUUAUAUAGGUAAAUUAUUCUAUGAAACUGCAUAAGUCAAAACGUUGUUGCAGCAUACUCUAUAUAGUACUAGUGUGUCACAAACACAUAAUAAUGGAAAUAGUUAUAUUAAAACACAUAAGUUGGCUAGAUGAUCACAUGGUAAAACAAUUGAUAUCUUGGAAGAUCCUGGUUCAGUUCCAAGUUCUUCAUCUCCAGUUUUUCAGGAAUCCAAGCCCAGAUUGUUAACUAAACAUAACUUAAUAAACACAUAAAUUACAUGCACAUAUUAUAAAUGGGGAAAUUAUGAAAAAAAAUUGCAUGAAAAUACUUUGUGUGUCAUAUAUUUUUUUGUAUUUUUUGUUACAGCUUUAUCUGCUUUAAUCAAUAGGUUUUUCUUGUAAGUCAGAAAAUCAUUAUUUAAAUAAAGAUCUGCUUAAGUUAGGACUGUCUGUAUAUUGUAAUAGAUAUAUUAUUGUUUUAUGAUUGAAAAGUCAAUACAUAAUAAUAAUCACUUAUUGUCGGCCGGAUUGGCCGAAUGGAAACACUUCGGCUUUCCACUCUGGAGGACCUGGGUUUGAGUCUCGGGUCCCACCCCUUAAAAAUAUUUAUC